rnacentral:rRNA from 1 species
UAGGGAAUCUUCCACAAUGGACGCAAGUCUGAUGGAGCAACGCCGCGUGAGUGUAGAAGGUUUUCGGAUCGUAAAGCUCUGUUGUUGGUGAAGAAGGAUAGAGGCAGUAACUGGUCUUUAUUUGACGGUAAUCAACCAGAAAGUCACGGCUAACUACGUGCCAA